AGGGUUAAGGCUGCAACAGCUGAAGCCCCAACAGGUGCUCAGAUGCCUACAAGAAGCCUUAAUGGGAAGCACUUGAGAGACAACACAUUCCCCUGGCCGGGCAGGCAAAGUGAACUGUGAGGUUACUCCUGGCCCCAGGGAUCACCCACCAACAACAAGUACAGUAACAUCAAAAUUGUGGCAGGCAAGAGACUGGAGGUGAGGUGGGGCCAGGAAAGAGCUGACAGCUCUUGGCCAUCAGAGACAUUACCAGGGAUCACCACGUGGAAGCGGCUCUCGUCGAACCCCCCUGCAAAGAUGCAGCAAUUAGAGAGGACUUUUUUGCUAUGCUACAGUUUUCCUUCAAAGCAGUCAUUGUAUCCAUUAUUUGAAAACAAUUCCAAGCACUAAGCGGGACUGUAAUGGCACAAGCUACUCUGUUCAGAAUUUGGGAGCGGAGUCUUUA